rnacentral:misc_RNA from 1 species
GAUGAAGAACGUAGCGAAAUGCGAUAAGUAAUGUGAAUUGCAGAAUUCCGUGAAUCAUCGAAUUUUUGAACGCACAUUGCGCCCCCUGGUAUUCCGGGGGGCAUGCCUGUCCGAGCGUCAUUGCUGCCCUCAAGCACGGCUUGUGUGUUGGGCCCCGUCCUCCGAUCCCGGGGGACGGGCCCGAAAGGCAGCGGCGGCACCGCGUCCGGUCCUCGAGCGUAUGGGGCUUUGUCACCCGCUCUGUAGGCCCGGCCGGCGCUUGCCGAUCAACCCAAAUUUUUAUCCAGGUUGACCUCGGAUCAGGUAGGGAUACCCGCUGAACUUAAGCAUAUCAAUAAGCGGAGGA